rnacentral:rRNA from 1 species
GUCGAUUUGUGAGGUUGUGCCCUUGAGGCGUGGCUUCCGGAGCUAACGCGUUAAAUCGACCGCCUGGGGAGUACGGCCGCAAGGUUAAAACUCAAAUGAAUUGACGGGGGCCCGCACAAGCGGUGGAGCAUGUGGUUUAAUUCGAUGCAACGCGAAGAACCUUACCUACUCUUGACAUCCAGAGAACUUAGCAGAGAUGCUUUGGUGCCUUCGGGAACUCUGAGACAGGUGCUGCAUGGCUGUCGUCAGCUCGUGUUGUGAAAUGUUGGGUUAAGUCCCGCAACGAGCGCAACCCUUAUCCUUUGUUGCCAGCGAUUCGGUCGGGAACUCAAAUGAGACUGCCGGUGAUAAACCGGAGGAAGGUGGGGAUGACGU